rnacentral:snRNA from 1 species
AGAAUCGCUUGAGCCUGGGAGGCAGAGGUUGCAGUGAGCCGAGAUUGUGCCACUGCACUCCAGCCUGGGCAACAGAC